rnacentral:rRNA from 1 species
ACGCUGACAGAAUGCUUAACACAUGCAAGUCUAUGAGGAAGUUUAGCUUGCUAAAUGGACUCAUGGCGGACGGGUGAGUAACGCGUAAAGAACUUGCCCUUUAGACUGGGAUAACAGAGGGAAACUUCUGAUAAUACUGGAUAAGUUAGUAUAUCGCAUGAUAUGCAAAUGAAAGCUACGGCACUAAAGGAGAGCUUUGCGUCCUAUUAGCUAGUUGGUAAGGUAAGAGCUUACCAAGGCGAUGAUAGGUAGCCGGCCUGAGAGGGUGGACGGCCACAAGGGGACUGAGAUACGGCCCUUACUCCUACGGGAGGCAGCAGUGGGGAAUAUUGGACAAUGGAGGGAACUCUGAUCCAGCAAUUCUGUGUGUGUGAAGAAGGUUUUAGGACUGUAAAACACUUUUAGUAGGGAAGAAAAAAAUGACGGUACCUACAGAAGAAGCAACGGCUAAAUACGUGCCAGCAGCCGCGGUAAUACGUAUGUUGCGAGCGUUAUCCGGAAUUAUUGGGCUUAAAGGGCAUCUAGGCGGUAAGACAAGUUGAAGGUGAAAACCUGUGGCUCAACCAUAGGCUUGCCUACAAAACUGUUGAACUAGAGUACUGGAAAGGUGGGUGGAACUACACGAGUAGAGGUGAAAUUCGUAGAUAUGUGUAGGAAUGCCGAUGAUGAAGAUAACUCACUGGACAGAAACUGACGCUGAAGUGCGAAAGCUAGGGGAGCAAACAGGAUUAGAUACCCUGGUAGUCCUAGCUGUAAACGAUGAUCACUGGGUGUGGGGAUGCGAAGUCUCUGUGCCGAAGCAAAAGCGAUAAGUGAUCCGCCUGGGGAGUACGUUCGCAAGAAUGAAACUCAAAGGAAUUGACGGGGGCCCGCACAAGUGGUGGAGCAUGUGGUUUAAUUCGACGCAACGCGAGGAACCUUACCAGAUCUUGAC